CUAUAAGGAGUACUAGUGUUUCUGUUUUCUAAAAUUUAUUGUAAGCAUCAUAGUUGACAUUUUGCUCUUGUUUCAGGAAUAAUAUUAAGGAGCAAGACUAAGUUGAGGUUGGCGAACUGAUACACUAGUAUGCUAUUGACUUUAGUAUUUGCUUUGCAAAUUGUUCAAGUUUUAAACAUGGACACAUGCAUUACAGAGAAAAGUAAGCAGGGUGUUGAAGCUCAUGGACAUUUCUACAGAGUUACCCUCUGCCUAUGCGCUUCUGAGCCACACCUUGAUUGUGCAGAAAAUCUCAGUACAGAGGAAGCAACUCCUUCCACAGUCUGUAUCUGAACUCCAGAAAGGAAAUGACAUACAUUAUCCGGAUGUUGCAUUUCAUUCACCUGAGAGAAAGCGUGUAAUUUUGAAAAUGCACCAUCAAUUAGAGUAUGAGGGAUCAACAAGGAAAACGAAUUUCAAAAUCAUGGUGGAGAAGAAAAACUAAGAGAUUGUAUCAUUAAUCUAGCUGCUUCAAGCUUUGGAGUUACUUACCUUUGAAACCAAUAUUAGUUUGUAAAUCAA
rnacentral:lncRNA from 1 species